GAUGAACGCUGGCGGCGUGCCUAAUACAUGCAAGUCGAGCGAACAGACGAGGAGCUUGCUCCUCUGACGUUAGCGGCGGACGGGUGAGUAACACGUGGAUAACCUACCUAUAAGACUGGGAUAACUUCGGGAAACCGGAGCUAAUACCGGAUAAUAUAUUGAACCGCAUGGUUCAAUAGUGAAAGACGGUUUUGCUGUCACUUAUAGAUGGAUCCGCGCCGCAUUAGCUAGUUGGUAAGGUAACGGCUUACCAAGGCAACGAUGCGUAGCCGACCUGAGAGGGUGAUCGGCCACAAUGGAACUGAGACAAGGUCCAGACACAUACGGGAGGCAGCAGUAGGGAAGCUUACGCAAUGGGAGAAAGACUGACGGAGCAACGAAGCGUGAGUGAUGAAGGUAUUAGGAUCGUAAAACUCUGUUAUGAGGGAAGAACAAAUGUGUAAGUAAAUAUGCACGUCUUGACGGUACCUAAUCAGAAAGCCACGGCUAACUACGUG
rnacentral:rRNA from 1 species